rnacentral:rRNA from 1 species
UACGUAGGGGGCUAGCGUUGUCCGGAAUCAUUGGGCGUAAAGCGCGUGUAGGCGGUCCGGUAAGUCCGCUGUGAAAGUCGGGGGCUUAACCCUCGGAUGCCGGUGGAUACUGUCGGGCUUGAGUACGGAAGAGGCGAGUGGAAUUCCUGGUGUAGCGGUGAAAUGCGCAGAUAUCAGGAAGAACACCCGUGGCGAAGGCGGCUCUCUGGUACGUGACUGACGCUGAGACGCGAAAGCGUGGGGAGCGAACAGG